rnacentral:misc_RNA from 1 species
GAUGAAGAACGCAGCAAAAUGCGAUAAGUAAUGUGAAUUGCAGAAUUCAGUGAAUCAUCGAAUCUUUGAACGCACAUUGCGCCCGCUGGUAUUCCGGCGGGCAUGCCAGUUCGAGCGUCAUUUCAACCCUCAAGCCCCCGGGUUUGGUGUUGGGGAUCGGCUCUGCCCUUCUGGGCGGUGCCGCCCCCGAAAUACAUUGGCGGUCUCGCUGCAGCCUCCAUUGCGUAGUAGCUAACACCUCGCAACUGGAACGCGGCGCGGCCAUGCCGUAAAACCCCAACUUCUGAAUGUUGACCUCGGAUCAGGUAGGAAUACCCGCUGAACUUAAGCAUAUCAAUAAGCGGAGGA